UACGGGGGGGGUAAGCGUUGUUCGGAAUUACUGGGCGUAAAGGGCUCGUAGGCGGCCAACUAAGUCGGACGUGAAAUCCCUCAGCUUAACUGGGGAACUGCGUCCGAUACUGGAUGGCUUGGAUUUGGGAGAGGGAUGCGGAAUUCCAGGUGUAGCGGUGAAAUGCGCAGAUAUCAGGAAGAACACCCGUGGCGAAGGCGGCUCUCUGGUACGUGACUGACGCUGAGACGCGAGAGCGUGGGGAGCAAACAGG
rnacentral:rRNA from 1 species